rnacentral:tRNA from 1 species
GCCCGGGUGGUGAAACCGGUAUACACGAAGGACUUAAAAUCCUUUGGACUUAUCCUCCGUGCGGGUUCGAGUCCCGCCCCGGGCA